UCGGAUAUGGUGUAACGGCUAACAUUGCCGCCUUUCAUUCCAGAAUACUUCUAUGAACGCGGCAGCCCGGGGUUCGAUUCCCCGUAUCCGAA